CUGGCAUCUGCACAGCGCACACGGCUCCGCGGGCGGCCCACACCGGCCUCCGGACCACAGGGAAAACCAUGGAAACUUCAGGACCUUCCUCCCAGACUCAAGAUGACAGUCGAGUCCAUGCAGAAACAGAAGACCUAGACUAUGAAGAGACGGAUUUCUACAAGCCAGACAGGGAGGCUGGACUCCUUUCCCAAGAACAACCUAAGAGACACAAGUCUUCUACCUCUUCCUCCUCCUCAUCUUCCUCCUCCUCCUCAUCAUCCUCUUCCUCAGGUACUGAGCAUGAGGAACCUGACCUCUUGAAGGAUGAGCUUCAGC
rnacentral:lncRNA from 1 species